rnacentral:rRNA from 1 species
UACGGGGGGGGGCAAGCGUUGUUCGGAAUUACUGGGCGUAAAGCGCGCGUAGGCGGCUUUGCAAGUCGGGUGUGAAAUCCCCAGGCUCAACCUGGGAACUGCAUUCGAGACUGCAUUGCUAGAGUAUGGGAGAGGGAAGUGGAAUUUCCGGUGUAGCGGUGAAAUGCGUAGAUAUCGGAAGGAACAUCAGUGGCGAAAGCGACUUCCUGGACCAAUACUGACGCUCAUGUGCGAAAGCGUGGGGAGCAAACAGG